rnacentral:rRNA from 1 species
AAGUCGUAACAAGGUUUCGUUUAGCGAUAGAUCCUUCUAAAGCACGCGGAGACCAUGCACCCUUUUGGGAGGCAGCGCGACAGUAAAGAAAGCUGACCGUUCGCAAGUUGGCGGAAGCCGGCAACACGAUCGAACUGACGGGGACCUCCUAAAGCCUACGGCACCAUUCUACCGCUGAAAGGCGAUAGCGACCGGUAAAAGCCCGUAGGAUAUAGCAAUGGACAAUCCGCAGCGAAGACCCUAACGGCUCCGGCCUAUGGGUACCGUUCACAGACUAAGUGGUUGUGGGCAGCCGUGCUGUCUAAGAUAUAGUCGAGCCCGCCGCGAAAGCUGCGGGGUAUUGUCCGUAGGUGAACCUGCGGAAGGAUCAUUACAGAGUUCAUGCCCUCACGGGUAGACCUCCCACCCUUGAAUUAUACUACUUUGUUGCUUUGGUAGCCUUCAUAGGCUGCCAGAGGAUAAACCAAACUCUUUUAAUAUGUCGUCUGAGUACUAUAUAAUAGUUAAAACUUUCAACAACGGAUCUCUUGGUUCUGGCAUCGAUGAAGAACGCAGCGAAAUGCGAUAAGUAAUGUGAAUUGCAGAAUUCGGUGAAUCAUCGAAUCUUUGAACGCACAUUGCGCCCCUUGGUAUUCCGGGGGGCAUGCCUGUUCGAGCGUCAUUAUAACCCUCAAGCCUAGCUUGUGUUGGAGCGUGCCUCGGGCGGCUCCCCAAAAAUCAGUGGCAGUGCCUCUCGGCUCUAAGCGUAGUAAUACNCUCGCUAUAGAGUCGGUCGGUGACGCGCCAGAACCCUAAUUUUCUAUGGUUGACCUCGGAUCAGGUAGGGAUACCCGCUGAACUUAAGCAUAUCAAUAAGCGGAGGAAAAGAAACCAACAGGGAUUGCCUCAGUAACGGCGAGUGAAGCGGCAACAGCUCAAAUUUGAAAUCUGGCUCUUUCAGGGUCCGAGUUGUAAUUUGUAGAAGAUGCUUUGGGUGUGGCUCCGGUCCAAGUUCCUUGGAACAGGACGUCAUAGAGGGUGAGAAUCCCGUAUGUGACUGGUCGCCUUCGUCCGUGUAAAGCUCUUUCGACGAGUCGAGUUGUUUGGGAAUGCAGCUCAAAAUGGGUGGUAAAUUUCAUCUAAAGCUAAAUAUUGGCCAGAGACCGAUAGCGCACAAGUAGAGUGAUCGAAAGAUGAAAAGCACUUUGGAAAGAGAGUUAAACAGUACGUGAAAUUGUUGAAAGGGAAGCGCUUGCAACCAGACUUGCGCGCGGUUGAUCAUCCGGUGUUCUCACCGGUGCACUCUGCCGUGCUCAGGCCAGCAUCGGUUUUGGUGGUUGGAUAAAGGCCUUAGGAAUGUAGCUUCUCUCGGGGAGUGUUAUAGCCUUCGGUGCAAUGCAGCCUACCGGGACCGAGGACCGCGCUUCGGCUAGGAUGCUGGCGUAAUGGUUGUAAGCGACC